UACAGAGGGUGCGAGCGUUGUCCGGAAUCAUUGGGCGUAAAGGGCGCGUAGGCGGUUCGUCAAGUCCUGUGUGAAAUCCCCCGGCUCAACUGGGGAACUGCACAGGAAACUAGCGGGCUUGAGUUCGGGAGAGGGAAGCGGAAUUCCGGGUGUAGCGGUGAAAUGCGUAGAUAUCCGGAGGAACACCGGUGGCGAAGGCGGCUUCCUGGACCGACACUGACGCUGAGGCGCGAAAGCUAGGGGAGCAAACGGG
rnacentral:rRNA from 1 species